AUGAAAGUUCAUUCAGACGCUGGUUCGCAGACACAAAGUUGCUCCAGCAGUGACGAGGAGGGAUCAAACAGCCUCUGCGAUAACCAGUUUAUCGUUGUCAAGCUUGAAGAUGAAGAUCCAGAAACCGAGAUGGACCUGAGUAUAUUCGCUCCUGUCGAGUCCUCGGAGUGUGAAGAUGAGGAUGAGGAUGAGCUUUCAGACUCAUCCGGCGUGUCUAGCUGGAGAAAGAAGAGCACCAGAGAGCGAGCCUCAGAUAACCAGGAGGAUUCGGCAGCCCUUGAGAAAGUGUCUUCCAGCAGGAGUUUAAAAGGACAGCGAAAGAGCCGACGGACCUCUCUGGCUGAGCAGAGACACAAGCAGAGUCUGGACUGUAGUGCAGCAAACAGGGACAUGAAUGUAGGACUCCUGUCUGAGGAUCACACAUUUCACCGAGCUGUGCCUCCGUCUGAUUCAGCCAGAGGUCCUGCAGAGAUGUCUGGACUCGACACUGGACUCAGCCCUUUAGCUGCCAUGGAGCCUCCUGUAUUUCCAAAUGCACCAGUACAGAGCAAAUCUGUUGUUGGGGAGGAUCAGCAGAAUAUACUACUUGAGGUCCUGAACCAUUGUAGGUUUCUGCAUGCAGCAGUGCAGAGGCUUGAAGAGAAGAUUGACAGACAGAUGUCAAAUGAGUCAUCAUAUGAAAGGAGCUCAGCGAAGCUGAAGAAUGGUUCAAAGCACAAAAGAAAAAUGGAUUCUGCAUUAAAUGAACAAGUUAAUUUUGACAGCCCUAGUGAUAAAGUAUCCCACAUCUCUAAGAGAGGGGCAUCUCUGCCGGCUGAAGAAGGGCAGCUGUCCUGGUCUUUGGCCCAGCGACUCGAUCCACCAGUCCAGAGAAACCCACGCUGGAUCCCUCCCUGGAAACGAGGGCUGGACAGAGCAGACCUUCAGCAGGCUGUCAACAGCAGCCUUCAGUCGGACAAACCUCCUGGCAGUAGACGAGGGAGAGGCAGGGGCAGAGGACGCGGUUGCAGCAGCAGAUCCCAGCGUCACUCUCAAACUCCUGAUCCUGCAUCACUCAUGUCAAAGCCCAGUGGAGAUGAGAUCGUCACUGCAUCAACAGAUGAUCCACAGUUGUGCCAAAUAAUGAAGAACGGCUCUCAGGCUAACACUGGCUCAAAGCGUCAGCAGAAAAGAAAGAAAACCUUGGCUCAGGUGGACAAGGAGAAAAUUGAACUGGAGAAGAUGCCCAACAAUAAAGAGGCCACACUUGAACUUCAGGGUGACAACAAAGUAAUGAUCGGAAGCCCUUUGCGGAAAGUGUGGAUCCCGCUGUCUGUGUACAAGGAGGUGUUUAAGCAGGUGGAUCCCCAGAAGGCUGUAGUGCCUGUGCUUCACGCUCUUUUCCCCAUCAGCACUCUGUCCUGCAGUGCAGUCACAGGAAACCCUGCAAAAGGCAUCCAGCAACUCAACCCCAACAAAAUAGAAGCCCUUCGAGAGUUUCUUGCUGAGAUGUUCCCACAGUUUGAUGUCGGCGUGAGGGGUGUGUCGUGGGCACAGUGUCUUGGAGUGAUAAAUAACAUCACCAAAGACCUCAACAAAAAAGCUGAAAAAAACAUCACAUCUGCCAACAGAGGUUUGUGA
ensembl:lncRNA